GACGAACGCUGGCGGCGUGCUUAACACAUGCAAGUCGAACGGUAAGGCCCUUCGGGGUACACGAGUGGCGAACGGGUGAGUAACACGUGGGUGAUCUGCCCUGCACUUCGGGAUAAGCCUGGGAAACUGGGUCUAAUACCGGAUAGGACCACUGCCUGCAUGGGUGGUGGUGGAAAGCUUUUGCGGUGUGGGAUGGGCCCGCGGCCUAUAAGCUUGUUGGUGGGGUGAUGGCCUACCAAGGCGACGACGGGUAGCCGGCCUGAGAGGGUGACCGGCCACACUGGGACUGAGAUACGGCCCAGACUCCUACGGGAGGCAGCAGUGGGGAAUAUUGCACAAUGGGCGCAAGCCUGAUGCAGCGACGCCGCGUGAGGGAUGACGGCCUUCGGGUUGUAAACCUCUUUCAGCACCGACGAUGCGCAAGUGACGGUAGGUGCAGAAGAAGGACCGGCCAACUACGUGCCAGCAGCCGCCGUAA
rnacentral:rRNA from 1 species